rnacentral:rRNA from 1 species
GAUGAACGCUGGCGGCGUGCCUAACACAUGCAAGUCGAGCGAACGGACGAGAAGCUUGCUUCUCUGAUGUUAGCGGCGGACGGGUGAGUAACACGUGGAUAACCUACCUAUAAGACUGGGAUAACUUCGGGAAACCGGAUCUAAUCCCGGAUGAUCUUUUGAACCGCAUGGUUCAAAAGUGAAAGACGGUCUUGCUGUCACUUAUAGAUGGAUCCGCGCUGCAUUAGCUAGUUGGUAAGGUAACGGCUUACCAAGGCUACGAUGCAUAGCCGACCUGAGAGGGUGAUCGGCCACACUGGAACUGAGACACGGUCCAGACUCCUACGGGAGGCAGCAGUAGGGAAUCUUCCGCAAUGGGCGAAAGCCUGACGGAGCAACGCCGCGUGAGUGAUGAAGGUCUUCGGAUCGUAAAGCUCUGUUAUUAGGGAAGAACAUAUGUGUAAGUAACUGUGCACAGCUUGACGGUACCGAAUCAGAAAGCCACGGCUAACUACGUG